AGUGAACGCUGGCGGUAGGCCUAACACAUGCAAGUCGAACGGCAGCACAGUAAGAGCUUGCUCUUACGGGUGGCGAGUGGCGGACGGGUGAGGAAUACAUCGGAAUCUACUUUUUCGUGGGGGAUAACGUAGGGAAACUUACGCUAAUACCGCAUACGACCUACGGUGAAAGCAGGGGAUCUUCGGACCUUGCGCGAUUGAAUGAGCCGAUGUCGGAUUAGCUAGUUGGCGGGGUAAAGGCCCACCAAGGCGACGAUCCGUAGCUGGUCUGAGAGGAUGAUCAGCCACACUGGAACUGAGACACGGUCCAGACUCCUACGGGAGGCAGCAGUGGGGAAUAUUGGACAAUGGGCGCAAGCCUGAUCCAGCCAUACCGCGUGGGUGAAGAAGGCCUUCGGGUUGUAAAGCCCUUUUGUUGGGAAAGAAAAGCAGCAGGUUAAUACCCCGCUGUUCUGACGGUACCCAAAGAAUAAGCACCGGCUAACUUCGUG
rnacentral:rRNA from 1 species